ACAUGAAGGAACCUAAACUGAAGAAUCUGAAACAUCUGAAACUAAAUGUCAUCUCUUGGCCUCAUUUCAGUUACGUGAUGAACUAAGAUGGAGAGGACAAUAGACUGCUUUGUCUUUGAGAACAUCUGG